rnacentral:rRNA from 1 species
AUUGAACGCUGGCGGCAUGCCUUACACAUGCAAGUCGAACGGCAGCACGGGUGCUUGCCCCUGGUGGCGAGUGGCGAACGGGUGAGUAAUACAUCGGAACAUGUCCUGUAGUGGGGGAUAGCCCGGCGAAAGCCGGAUUAAUACCGCAUACGAUCUACGGAUGACAGCGGGGGACCUUCGGGCCUCGCGCUAUCGGGUUGGCCGAUGGCUGAUUAGCUAGUUGGUGGGGUAAAGGCCUACCAAGGCGACGAUCAGUAGCUGGUCUGAGAGGACGACCAGCCACACUGGGACUGAGACACGGCCCAGACUCCUACGGGAGGCAGCAGUGGGGAAUUUUGGACAAUGGGCGAAAGCCUGAUCCAGCAAUGCCGCGUGUGUGAAGAAGGCCUUCGGGUUGUAAAGCACUUUUGUCCGGAAAGAAAUCCUUGGCUCUAAUACAGUCGGGGGAUGACGGUACCGGAAGAAUAAGCACCGGCUAACUACGUG